rnacentral:tRNA from 1 species
GCCCGCGUAGCGCAGUGGAAGCGCGCCACCCUCCGGAGGUGGCGGUCGCGAGUUCGAUCCUCGCCGCGGGUA